CUCGGAGCGCUGCUUUUCUCUACGUGCUUUGCACAUGCGCGACUGCUUUUCCCUUCUUCCUCCGCUUCCACUGGCGUCCACGGUUCGCGGAGCCGCCGGCAGCGCGGCGGAGAAGUCGGGAAGUUCAAGAUGGCCGCCGCGGAGCCCCCGUCGCUGCGGGAGCAGGCGGAAAUGGAUGAUGGUGAUAAUUCUGAAAAGAGUGUAAAUGAAGAAAAUGGAGAAGUAUCAGAAGACCAGUCUCAAAAUAAACACAGUCGUCACAAAAAAAAGAAGCAUAAACACAGAAGUAAACAUAAGAAACAUAAACAUUCCUCAGAAGAAGAUAGGGAUAAAAAACAUAAACAUAAGCAUAAGCAUAAGAAACGUAAAAAAGGAGCUGUAGAUGCCUCUGACAAAGAAGGCCUCUCCCCUGCAAAAAGAACUAAACUUGAUGACUUAGCUUUGCUGGAAGACUUGGAAAAACAGAGAGCCUUGAUUAAAGCUGAGCUUGACAAUGAGUUAAUGGAGGGAAAGGUCCAGUCUGGAAUGGGGCUCAUUUUGCAAGGCUAUGAGUCUGGCUCCGAAGAAGAAGGAGAGAUUCAUGAAAAGGCAAGAAAUGGAAAUAGGUCCAGUACCAGGUCUUCCAGUACACGGGGGAAACUUGAAAUUACGGACAACAAAAAUAGUGCAAAAAAACGAAGUAAAAGCAGAUCCAAAGAAAGGACUAGACACAGGUCGGACAAAAGGAAAAGCAAGGGAGCUGUUGACAUGGUGAGAGAGAAAGCAAAUAGGAGCAAGUCCAAGGAGAGGAGAAAAUCCAUAAGUCCGUCCAAAAGAAGCAAAUCUCAAGACCAAGCAAGAAAAUCAAAGUCCCCUACCCUUAGACGGCGGUCCCAAGAAAAGAUUGGGAAGGCCAGAUCUCCUGCUGAUGAUAAGAUUAAGAUUGAAGAUAAAGGUAAAAUAAAAGAUAGGAAGAAAUCACCAAUUGUAAAUGAAAGAAGUCGAGAUCGAUCUAAAAAAUCCAGGUCUCCAGUUGACCUAAGAGAUAAAUCCAAAGACAGAAGGUCAAGGUCCAAAGAGCGAAAGUCAAAGCGGUCUGAAAUUGACAAAGAAAAGAAGCCAAUUAAGUCUCCUUCAAAAGAUGCCUCUUCAGGGAAGGAAAAUAGGUCACCCAGUAGAAGACCUGGCCGGAGUCCCAAAAGAAGAAGUUUAUCUCCAAAACAGCGAGACAAGUCAAGAAGAAGUAGGUCCCCACUUCUCAAUGACAGACGGUCUAAGCAGAGUAAAUCGCCUUCUCGAACUCUGUCUCCAGGUAGAAGGGCCAAGAGCCGAUCCUUAGAAAGAAAGCGAAGAGAGCCAGAGAGGAGACGACUUUCUUCUCCAAGAACACGGCCUCGAGAUGAUAUUCUCAGUAGAUGCGAACGAUCAAAAGAUGCUAGCCCCAUCAAUAGGUGGUCUCCAACCCGAAGAAGAAGUAGGUCUCCCAUUAGGAGGAGAUCCCGUUCCCCAUUGAGACGCAGUAGGUCUCCAAGACGAAGAAGCAGGUCCCCUCGGAGAAGAGAUAGGGGUCGAAGGAGCAGGUCUCGCUUGAGAAGAAGAUCUCGGUCACGUGGUGGUCAUAGGAGAAGGAGCAGAAGCAAAGUAAAGGAAGAUAAAUUUAAAGGAAGUCUUUCUGAAGGAAUGAAAGUUGAGCAAGAAUCUUCAUCUGAUGAUAACCUUGAAGAUUUUGAUGUAGAGGAAGAAGAUGAAGAGGCGCUAAUAGAACAGAGGAGGAUACAGAGGCAGGCCAUUGUACAGAAAUAUAAAUACCUUGCUGAAGAUAGCAAUAUAUCUGUGCCAUCUGAGCCAAGCAGCCCCCAGAGCAGCACGAGGUCACGAUCGCCUUCUCCAGAUGACAUCUUGGAGCGGGUAGCUGCUGAUGUAAAAGAAUAUGAGCGAGAGAAUGUUGACACCUUUGAGGCCUCAGUAAAAGCCAAGCAUAAUCUAAUGACUGUUGAACAAAAUAAUGGUUCAUCUCAGAAGAAGCUUUUGGCACCUGAUAUGUUUACAGAAUCUGAUGAUAUGUUUGCUGCUUAUUUUGAUAGUGCUCGUCUCCGUGCUGCUGGCAUCGGGAAAGAUUUCAAAGAGAAUCCCAACCUUAGAGAUAAUUGGACAGAUGCAGAAGGCUAUUACCGUGUGAACAUUGGGGAAGUCCUAGAUAAGCGUUAUAAUGUGUAUGGCUACACUGGGCAGGGUGUGUUUAGCAAUGUUGUACGUGCCAGGGAUAAUGCAAGAGCCAAUCAGGAAGUGGCGGUAAAGAUCAUCAGAAACAAUGAACUCAUGCAAAAGACUGGUUUAAAAGAACUAGAAUUCUUGAAAAAACUUAAUGAUGCUGAUCCUGAUGACAAAUUUCAUUGCCUGCGCCUCUUCAGACACUUUUACCAUAAGCAGCACCUCUGUCUUGUAUUCGAGCCUCUCAGUAUGAACUUGCGAGAGGUAUUAAAAAAGUAUGGUAAGGAUGUCGGUCUCCAUAUUAAAGCUGUGAGAUCCUACAGUCAGCAAUUGUUCCUGGCGUUGAAACUCCUUAAAAGAUGCAACAUCCUGCAUGCAGAUAUCAAGCCAGACAAUAUUCUGGUCAAUGAAUCAAAAACAAUUUUAAAGCUUUGUGAUUUUGGAUCGGCUUCGCAUGUUGCAGAUAAUGACAUAACGCCUUAUCUUGUCAGUAGAUUUUAUCGUGCUCCGGAGAUCAUUAUAGGUAAAAGCUAUGACUAUGGUAUCGAUAUGUGGUCUGUAGGUUGCACCUUAUAUGAACUCUAUACUGGAAAAAUCUUAUUUCCUGGCAAAACUAAUAACCAUAUGUUGAAGCUCGCCAUGGACCUCAAAGGAAAGAUGCCAAAUAAGAUGAUUCGGAAAGGUGUAUUCAAAGACCAACAUUUUGACCAAAAUCUGAACUUCAUGUACAUAGAGGUUGAUAAAGUAACAGAGAGGGAGAAAGUUACUGUCAUGAGCACCAUUAACCCAACUAAGGACCUGUUGGCUGACUUGAUUGGGUGCCAGCGACUUCCUGAAGAUCAACGUAAAAAAGUGCACCAGCUAAAGGACUUGUUGGACCAGAUCCUAAUGUUGGACCCGGCUAAGCGAAUUAGCAUCAACCAGGCCCUGCAGCAUGCAUUCAUCCAGGAAAAAAUUUAAACGAGAUGAAGAAACUCCAAGGGUUUGAGUAACUAAAUACAAAGACUGAAGAAAUUUCACAGCAGUUUAUUAUUAAUGUAUAUAAACUUAUAAAUAUUUCUGCAGCAAAUUUGAGGAAGCAUGAUAUAUUUGAAUUAACACCAAGGGUGAUAUUUCUUUUAGAAAUGUUAGUUAAACUGUUUUGUGUCUUAUGUGAAAUUUCACUGUAGAAAUGUUUUAAUUGCCAAGACUGCACAAAAUUAAAGUGCUAAUGUAUAUGGUUGCAGUUCACAUAAAAGACAAAAGCAUCUGUUAUGAGUAGCAGUGCUGGGUGGUUGAUUUGUUUUUAGCAGACUUGGCUUCAUUUUGGUCUUCAGAUACAAUGGCCAGCAUAAAUGCUGUUUAUAUUCACGUUUUCCUAGGUGUGUGUGUGCAGGCCACAGCAGCAUGCCCUUGGUGUAGUCAGUGCCGAAGGGAGUCUGUUCCUUCUUGAGCCUGCCUGCAGGGAUGUCUCCUCUUUUAAAGCAGGUUGUGUACAACAUUCAGUACACUGAAGGUAAGCUAAACCAUCAACAUCACCAGUGUUUUAAGAUGUUAUUUUAUUGGAAUAAUUGAAAAUGAGGGAUAGCUGUGUGGCAGAAUUUCCUGCAUGUGUGAUAAUUGAUCUUGUUUUAUUUUUCUGGCAUCGCGACUGUGGCAUAGUUACAGUUUCUGUUCUGUUCAUCACAUUUAAAAUUUGAAGCGUAUGUGCUUGAUGGAUAGAGCGCCUUCAGUGUACUGUUUCUUAUUAACUUUGCUUUUUUUUAAAUCAACUUGCUAUAGACUUUAUAUACAUUUUGUUAAAUACAGUUCUUAGUGACAUAGAAACUGCAUAGUUCUCAUUUACUAAUUAAAAUGUUGAGGCCUACUUCUGAAAGUCCUCAUAUUUAAAAGAUAGACAGCAUAAUGAGAUUUUUAACUAUUUGUAUGUCAUUUUGAAAGUGUACUGCUUUAUGGUAAAAGUGUUUUUCAUUUGUUCAUUGUUUGCAUUAUUUGUGAUCAUGUUGUCUUUCAAUACAGGCAUAAACCUCCCACUCUUGAACAAAGCAGCUGCUUUUUAAAAGCGAGAAAAAGGAAAACGGGGCACAGGCCAUUCGACGCCUUCUCCAAGGGGUCUGAUUUGCUGAGACACCAGCUUCACCUUCUUAACAAGGUUAUUUCUGACAGCAUGUGUAGAUAAACAUUUAGCAACAAUUUAAAACAAAAUCAUGUAAAUCAGCUUGGUUUUGUAACACAAAGGAAUUUGUAUUUUUAAUAUGGUAUAAGAGAAUUUUCAGAAUCCUGUGUAAUCUUUUCUGUUUUGGAGUGGGUAAACUUACUGCUUGUCUCCCUGAGGAUUAUGAGAACAAUAAAAUUUUGGGGUUUAAAUAAUAUUUUUACAUUGUAAAUGGGAUUUUUUUAUUCACCCAGGCACCUAAUUACAACAAGCAUGCACAUUUUGGUGCAUUCAAGAAUGGAAUAUCAGAGUAGCAGCAUUCUCCUGGUGGGUUAUGCUCCAUUUAAAGACAUGAAAUGAACUACACAGCCAGGAAGGUGAUAGAUGAGAUAAUAAACCACCUAUGAACCUACACCCCCAUCUCUCUUCAUGGUUAGACUUACUAAAAUAAGUACAAGGUGAUUUUCAUCUAUGGGUAGAGUGAGGCCUUUAAACAAGGCGUCACAGGUGCAGCGCCCACCUUAAUGAUCUGAGUAGCGAGUUUCCCACCAUGACUGACUUUAUUUUGGUGCUGGUAUGCUGCAUAGUCAAGUAUUUUGUAGUUGUUUUCACUCAGUAGUUAAUGCUUUGGCUUCUGGUGGUUUUCAUGGCUUCAUUUUAUAGUUAAUAAGUUAAUUUCCACUAGAAACCAUUCAUCUUAUGCCUUCAAAGCUGUUGCCUACUCUUUAAAAAAAAAACAAAACAACAACAACAAAAAAAAAAACAAAGUUGCUUGUUACUUGUUCUUUGUGUUUUAGGUGCGGCUCAGUGGAAGAUGACGGCAGCCAGAAGACAUGAGCCGAGGCUUCUGUCCCAUAAAGACCUUUUCAGUUCUCAUUUUUAGUUUCAGCAUUAUAAUUUGGGUGUCAUUGCUGUGGUAGUUAGAGUAGUGGUGCUGUUGUGCUCGUCUGUAAAGUGUUUGUUUUUAUCACAUUUGCUGCAGCUACACCCUUCUAAAAUGAAAAUCAGCUUAGUCAUAGAAAAAGCCCACACUCAUGGUCAUCAGAGUCACUGAGAAAGCAAUAAAUAGCUGCCAAGUCAGUGUACAUUUGAAAGUAAUCUGCGAGUUGGGUUUAUUGACCACACCGGGCAAGUGGAGGCAGUAAGAGAUUGAGAUCAAGGCCUACGUAGCCUAUAUGAACCCUCUCCUUUUGUUUUUGUUUUCUUUUUAAAAUAAUUCUUUAGCUUUAAACAGGCACCUAAAUUGUAUGAGUAGUAAAAUUUUAAUAAACUGUUUGACUCUCUUAAUAGCUCUUCUUUCUCUUAGUCCUUCAUGACCAGCUUUUUAGUGCCAGAGACAAGGGGGAGGUGUGAACGAUGGUACUGUACUAUUACUUUUCCCAAAGGGACUCUGUAAACUGUGUUAGUACGCUCCAUUCUACGUGGUGGCUGACUUCUCUGAGGAAGAAGUCUGGAGGUGUGUGAGAGCUGUUAGGUUGGGGUCAUUUGGCUAAUGACCCUAUUUAUCAAACCUGUGUUUGUGUUUCUGAGUGGCUGAGCUGUUUCCACAUAAAAUUGUUAUGAGCUUUAAACUUUAUGGGAAAAUGACAAGUGAUUAUCAGACUUGAGGUUAAUAAAACUAUUUUGUCUUUUAGAAAAAUUUUAAAGCCAAGUUUUGUUCUUCUUAAGAAAUAAAAGAUACGUGGGUAUCCAUGUACUCAUUAUACACAUGGGCAGUUAAUCCAAAGAUCUUCUGAUGUUAAAACCAUUAUUCAGAGCAGUACAUGCAGACACCUCGGAGAGUGCUCAGAAAACUCUUAAGCAUAACUCUCAGAGAUUUGAUUAUCUGAGAUUAGAGGAGGAAAGGACAUUCAGAAAGCAUCCGUUGUAGAUGCUAGCCUCUUGGCAGACUUGGUUCUCAGGGACCAUCAGAAAUGAGGGAGUGUGGCAGUUGUGAACAGGAGCAGCUUAUUGGUAUAAACAGCAACCUCUCAGUACUUGUGUUUACACUGAAGUCCUGAUUGAAAACCUUCUGGGUCUUGAUUCCCAGUGGCUACUUUCUCAGCUAUUUUGUUGAAAAAUAAUAAUGUGAUUUAUAUCUUACCAUUGCAGUUACCAUCUUUUUUCCUAAUGAAACUAAAUACUCAGGACAGUUUUGGAAUAGAAAAUACAUAUUUUAUUGUGUGUAGCAGACUUAGUAAAAUGUAGUUUUCUCAUUUUAGCCCCAGGUUUGCAUUUAUCCUAGUCUACCUGCAUAGGCACAAAUAGACUGAAAUGAAACAAAGGAAUUACAUGUAUUCAAAUUUAGGUUAGACAUUUAGGAAAUGAAUGUAUUUAUUUUGGCAAUGAGAUUAUAUAGUGAAAUGUGAUAUGUAGUAUGCUUCCUUUCUUAUGAUACUAUUAGCAGUUGGACUCUAUAAGAAAGUAUUGUUCUGUGGCCAUAGUAUAUGCAACAUGAAUUUAUUCUCCUACAUGAAAUGUUCUUAUACAAAUGUUCACUGCAAAUUCAUUGUACUUUUUACAUGUUGAUACAAAGUUGACUAUAAGAUGUGUUUUGUUUUUCUUUUGUUGGUUACAUUGAGAUACCACUGUGGUAUCCUUACUUUCUCCUGUAUAUAGGGUAAGGGACUGUUCUUCUGAAGAACCAUUCCAUUUAGUGAUCAAGAUACAGUAGCUGCUCUCAGAAAAUGCUUGACGUGUAUCCUAAUUGUUCACGAUACCAUUUGAGUUGUAACUUGCAUUGUAGCAGCAAAUGAUCCCCAACAACCUCAUAGGAAGCUUAAUAAAGUAUGCCUCUUGCUACCAUA